rnacentral:rRNA from 1 species
GGGUUGUGAGGUUAAGCGACUAAGCGUACACGGUGGAUGCCCUGGCAGUCAGAGGCGAUGAAGGACGUGCUAAUCUGCGAUAAGCGUCGGUGAGGUGAUAUGAACCGUUAUAACCGGCGAUUUCCGAAUGGGGAAACCCAGUGUGUUUCGACACACUAUCAUUAACUGAAUCCAUAGGUUAAUGAGGCGAACCGGGGGAACUGAAACAUCUAAGUACCCCGAGGAAAAGAAAUCAACCGAGAUUCCCCCAGUAGCGGCGAGCGAACGGGGAGGAGCCCAGAGCCUGAAUCAGUGUGUGUGUUAGUGGAAGCGUCUGGAAAGGCGUGCGAUACAGGGUGACAGCCCCGUACACAAAAAUGCACAUAUUGUGAGCUCGAUGAGUAGGGCGGGACACGUGGUAUCCUGUCUGAAUAUGGGGGGACCAUCCUCCAAGGCUAAAUACUCCUGACUGACCGAUAGUGAACCAGUACCGUGAGGGAAAGGCGAAAAGAACCCCGGCGAGGGGAGUGAAAAAGAACCUGAAACCGUGUACGUACAAGCAGUGGGAGCCUCUUAAUGGGGUGACUGCGUACCUUUUGUAUAAUGGGUCAGCGACUUAUAUUCUGUAGCAAGGUUAACCGAAUAGGGGAGCCGAAGGGAAACCGAGUCUUAACUGGGCGUUAAGUUGCAGGGUAUAGACCCGAAACCCGGUGAUCUAGCCAUGGGCAGGUUGAAGGUUGGGUAACACUAACUGGAGGACCGAACCGACUAAUGUUGAAAAAUUAGCGGAUGACUUGUGGCUGGGGGUGAAAGGCCAAUCAAACCGGGAGAUAGCUGGUUCUCCCCGA